AGCCGAGCGGUAGAGUAUCUUCGGAUACUUGAGAGCGGCGCACGGGUGCGGAACACGUGUGCAACCUGCCUUUAUCUGGGGGAUAGCCUUUCGAAAGGAAGAUUAAUACCCCAUAAUAUAUUGAGUGGCAUCACUUAAUAUUGAAAACUCCGGUGGAUAGAGAUGGGCACGCGCAAGAUUAGAUAGUUGGUAGGGUAACGGCCUACCAAGUCGAUGAUCUUUAGGGGGCCUGAGAGGGUGAUCCCCCACACUGGUACUGAGACACGGACCAGACUCCUACGGGAGGCAGCAGUGAGGAAUAUUGGACAAUGGGUGAGAGCCUGAUCCAGCCAUCCCGCGUGAAGGAUUAAGGUCCUAUGGAUUGUAAACUUCUUUUGUAUAGGGAUAAACCUACUCUCGUGAGAGUAGCUGAAGGUACUAUACGAAUAAGCACCGGCUAACUCCGUGCCAGCAGCCGCGGUAAUA
rnacentral:rRNA from 1 species